GGAUGCUUAGCGUUUUGGCGCAUGUGCAGAAGGCACACAGCGGCAGGUCACUAAACUUGUUAGGGUGUAUCGACGUAAUUCAUUCUGGAGUUUAUUCAAGACACUGGAGGGGAAGGAAAGCAAUUUGAUGACAAGCACCAGUAGACUGACGGGAGGAGAUGUAUGCAGCAGUGUGCAUCAUGUCUUCAGUAACAGGCUAUGUGCUCACCUCUGCACUGCUGCUGAAAUAUCCAACUCUUUUUGCACCGAAAGAAACGAGAGACUUUCGUCAGUAGGCACAUUUCUCAUCGUGGAGGAGCAGGUGAACACCUGGAAAACACCAUGACUGCUUUCAAGCAUGCUGUGGAUCUUGGCACAGACAUGCUGGAGUUGGACUGUCGCCUGACAAAAGAUGGACAAGUGGUGGUUUCACAUGAUGCAAACUUGCACAGGUCCACUGGCAUCAAUGCCUACAUCUCGGACAUGGCCUAC